rnacentral:rRNA from 1 species
CAGUCGUACCUUCGGGAAUCAGCCUUUCGGGUGGAUCUUGGAGUGUGGUGAGCUUAAACCCUCCAUGCUUUGCAUAUUUGUGCUCUGGGUGUACUUGCCCCUGUGGUUGGUUAACAUCAAAUUUGGUUAUCAUAAAAUGAUGGGAGGAAUGUGGCUUCGAUCUCGUAUUGAAGUGUUAUAGCCUUCGGUAGAUGUGAUGAACGAGAUUGAGGAUUGCAACGGAUACCCUUCGGGGCUACCUGUCUGGUCUCUGAUCGUUGCUCUGGUGCCGAAAGCUUGCUUACGGUCAUCAAAGUCGAUGGUCAAUAGGUUAGAACGGGUUAAA